UUUAUGGAGAGUUUGAUCCUGGCUCAGAGUGAACGCUGGCGGCGUGCCUAAUACAUGCAAGUCGAACGAUGAAGCUUCUAGCUUGCUAGAAUGCUGAUUAGUGGCGCACGGGUGAGUAACGCAUAGGUCAUGUGCCUCUUAGUUUGGGAUAGCCAUUGGAAACGAUGAUUAAUACCAGAUACUCCCUACGGGGGAAAGAUUUAUCGCUAAGAGAUCAGCCUAUGUCCUAUCAGCUUGUUGGUAAGGUAAUGGCUUACCAAGGCUAUGACGGGUAUCCGGCCUGAGAGGGUGAACGGACACACUGGAACUGAGACACGGUCCAGACUCCUACGGGAGGCAGCAGUAGGGAAUAUUGCUCAAUGGGGGAAACCCUGAAGCAGCAACGCCGCGUGGAGGAUGAAGGUUUUAGGAUUGUAAACUCCUUUUGUUAGAGAAGAUAAUGACGGUAUCUAACGAAUAAGCACCGGCUAACUCCGUGCCAGCAGCCGCGGUAAUACGGAGGGUGCAAGCGUUACUCGGAAUCACUGGGCGUAAAGAGCGCGUAGGCGGGAUAGUCAGUCAGGUGUGAAAUCCUAUGGCUUAACCAUAGAACUGCAUUUGAAACUACUAUUCUAGAGUGUGGGAGAGGUAGGUGGAAUUCUUGGUGUAGGGGUAAAAUCCGUAGAGAUCAAGAGGAAUACUCAUUGCGAAGGCGACCUGCUGGAACAUUACUGACGCUGAUUGCGCGAAAGCGUGGGGAGCAAACAGGAUUAGAUACCCUGGUAGUCCACGCCCUAAACGAUGGAUGCUAGUUGUUGGAGGGCUUAGUCUCUCCAGUAAUGCAGCUAACGCAUUAAGCAUCCCGCCUGGGGAGUACGGUCGCAAGAUUAAAACUCAAAGGAAUAGACGGGGACCCGCACAAGCGGUGGAGCAUGUGGUUUAAUUCGAAGAUACACGAAGAACCUUACCUAGGCUUGACAUUGAGAGAAUCCGCUAGAAAUAGUGGAGUGUCUGGCUUGCCAGACCUUGAAAACAGGUGCUGCACGGCUGUCGUCAGCUCGUGUCGUGAGAUGUUGGGUUAAGUCCCGCAACGAGCGCAACCCCCUUUCUUAGUUGCUAACAGGUUAUGCUGAGAACUCUAAGGAUACUGCCUCCGUAAGGAGGAGGAAGGUGGGGACGACGUCAAGUCAUCAUGGCCCUUACGCCUAGGGCUACACACGUGCUACAAUGGGGUGUACAAAGAGAAGCAAUACUGCGAAGUGGAGCCAAUCUUCAAAACACCUCUCAGUUCGGAUUGUAGGCUGCAACUCGCCUGCAUGAAGCUGGAAUCGCUAGUAAUCGCAAAUCAGCCAUGUUGCGGUGAAUACGUUCCCGGGUCUUGUACUCACCGCCCGUCACACCAUGGGAGUUGUGUUUGCCUUAAGUCAGGAUGCUAAAUUGGCUACUGCCCACGGCACACACAGCGACUGGGGUGAAGUCGUAACAAGGUAACCGUAGGUGAACCUGCGGUUGGAUCACCUCCUUUCUAGA
rnacentral:rRNA from 1 species